AGACGGGACUUCAUUGUAACAUAAACCACUAUAAACAUUUUGGAUCUCAAAUCAGACAAGACGACCCGCUGAAUUUAAGCAUAUAAUUAAGCGGAGGAAAAGAAACUAACAAGGAUUCCCCUAGUAGCGGCGAGCGAAGCGGGAAAAGCCCAAUAUGAAAAGCCUGCUUGCAGGCGUUGUAGUUGAGCGUCCUCGGGUUGUCAGUGUGGGCAAGUCGCAUGGAAAUGCGCGCCGUGGAGGGUGAGAGCCCCGUCCAACUCACACAGGACAUAUCCGCACGAGGGCGUUUCAGAUGAGUCGGGUAGCUUGGGAAUGCUGCUCUAAUCGGUGGUAAAUCUCAUCGAAGGCUAAAUAGCGGCUGGAGACCGAUAGCGAACAAGUACCGUGAGGGAAAGAUGACAAGCACUUUGAAAAGAGGGUGAAAAGAGCCUGAAACCGUCACGGGGGAAGCGGAUCGCGUUGGAUUGAUGGGCGCUUGCGUGUUCAGCCCUUUGGGUGCAUUGGCGCAAGUUGUUUAUCCGCUGUGGGUUUUCGGGGGUUGAUUUUGAACCCCUGGGGACUGAGGGCUCCCUUUUAUAGGUUGAGGACAGCGGAGUGACGACGCGAUACGACCCGUCUUGUAACACGGACCAAGGAGUCUAGCGCGGGUGCGAGUCGGAGGGUGCAAGCCCGUGGGCGAAGUGAAAGCGAGUGUAAAAACGAGCAGUUUGGGGCGGCAUAAGAUCGUUGAUCUUAAGACCGACCCAGAGCAGUUGCGCUGGGACCCGAAAGAUGGUGAACUAUGCCGGAGUAGGGCAAAGCCAGAGGAAACUCUGGUGGAGGCUCGUAGCGGUGCUGACGUGCAAAUCGCUCGUCGAACUUGGGUAUAGGGGCGAAAGACUAAUCGAACCAUCUAGUAGCUGGUUCCCUCCGAAGUUUCUCUCAGGAUAGCGGGCCGACAAGUUGUUUUGUGCGGUAAAGCGAAUGAUUAGCGCAUUUCGGGGGCGUUUAGCCUUUGGGCGAUUCUCAAACUUUCAAUGCGCAAGGGUGCCGCUGCUUAAUUGAGCGGUACCGGUAAAAACGUCGGCCCUGUGGGCCACUUUUGGUAAGCAGAACUGGCGAUACGGGAUGAACCGUAAGCAUGGUUAAGGCGCCAAACUGCCCGCUUAUAGACCCCACAAAAGGUGUUGAUUCAUCGAGACAGCAGGACGGUGGCCAUGGAAGUCGGAAUCCGCCAAGGAGUGUGUAACAACUCACCUGCCGAAUGAAUUAGCCCUGAAAAUGGAUGGCGCUGAAGCGGGCGGCCGACACCAUGCCGUCUGGACAAGAAAUGUUUUCAGAUGAGUAGGAGGGCGUGGCGGCCGUGUCGAAGCGCGCUUGCAGAAGCGUGUGGAACGGCCGCUAGUGCAGAUCUUGGUGGUAGUAGCAAGUAUUCAAGCGAGAUCCUUGAAGGGCGAAGUGGGGAAGGGUUUCACGCGAACAUUGAUUGGGCGUGAGUGAGUCGUUCCUAAGCCGAGUGGCAAUUGCUAAUUAACGGCGAAAGGGAAGCGGGUUGACAUUCCCGCACACGGAUGUGGAGGCGGCGACGCAUUAUUGGGGCGAACACGCUGGCGAUGGCGCUGGGCAGAGUUGUCUUUUCUGUUUGACCGCUUGCGCACGCAGUGUGGAAUCCGCUUGUCGGGAGAAACACGCGUGUACGGGCAGAGCGCUGGGGCUUUUCCAGCGUCCAGCUCGCCAUCGACGGCCCUUGAAACUUUGCCUGCUGAAUUAAGAUCCACGCCGUGGCGUACCGAUCACCGCAUCAGGUCCCCAAGGUGAACAGCCUCUGCUCAAUAUGAAAAAUGCAGGUAAGGGAAGUCGGCAAAUUGGACCCGUAACUUUGGGAAAAGGGUUGGCUCUAGUGCUGCGUGGGAGUGGUUGUCGGAUGCUGGCGCUUUUAGCGUGGCGGAUUGGCGCGGUACUCCUUUUGGGGCGCUGUUCCUGCUGCUACGCCGAUUGUGCCACGCCCGACGACGCCCACAGCAUGCAGCAGACUAGAACUGCAACGGGCAAAGGGAAUCCGACUGUUUAAUUAAAACAAAGCAUUGCGAGGGCCGUGGCCGGUGAUGACGCAAUGUGAUUUCUGCUCAGUGCUCUGAAUGUCAAAGUGAAGAGAUUCAAUCAAGCGCGGGUAAACAGCGGGAGUAACUAUGACUCUCUUAAGGUAGCCAAAUGCCUCGUCAUCUAAUUAGUGACGCGCAUGAAUGGAUUAACGAGAUUCCUACUGUCCCUAUCUGCUUCUAGCGAAACCACAGCCGAGGGAACGGGCUCGGCGAAAUCGGCGGGGAAAGAAGACCCUGUUGAGCUUGACUCUAUUCUAAUUUUGUGAAGCAAGUUGGGAGGCGUAGCAUAGGUGGGAGCGCUUGCGCGUCCGUGAAAUACCACUACUCCCAGUCUUGCUUUACUUACUGGGUUGGUGUGGAUGAGUCUUACGACUCUAUUCUAGAACCAAUGUGCGUUUGUGCAGACCACAGCCCAGCACACAUUUAGGAGGGGAGUUUGGCUGGGGCGGCACAUCUUCUACAAGACAACGAAGGUGUCCAAAGAUGAGCUCAGUGAGAACAGAAAUCUCACGUAGCGCAAAAGGGUAAAAGCUCGUUUGAUUUUGAUUUUCAGUGCGAGUCGAAAACGCGAAAGCGUGGCCUAUCGAUCCUUUCACGAUUCGAGAUUUGAAGCGAGAGGUGUCAGAAAAGUUACCACAGGGAUAACUGGCUUGUGGCGGCCAAGCGUUCAUAGCGACGUCGCUUUUUGAUCCUUCGAUGUCGGCUCUUCCUAUCAUUGCGUAGCAGAAUACGCCAAGUGUCGGAUUGUUCACCCGCCAACAGGGAACGUGAGCUGGGUUUAGACCGUCGUGAGACAGGUUAGUUUUAUCCUACCGAUGAGUUGUCGUCGCGGCAGUAAUUCAAGGCAGUACGAGAGGAACGCUUGAUUCAAAUCGCUGGUACAUGCAGCUGCAGGAGCCUGCAGUGCUGCGACGCUACCGUUUGAAUGAUCAGAAAGGC
rnacentral:rRNA from 1 species